AGUCCAGACUCCUACGGGAGGCAGCAGUGGGGAAUAUUGCACAAUGGGGGAAACCCUGAUGCAGCGACGCCGCGUGAGCGAUGAAGUAUUUCGGUAUGUAAAGCUCUAUCAGCAGGGAAGAAAAUGACGGUACCUGACUAAGAAGCCCCGACUAACUACGUGCCAGCAGCCGCGGUAAUACGUAGGGGGCAAGCGUUAUCCGGAUUUACUGGGUGUAAAGGGAGCGUAGACGGCAUGGCAAGUCAGAUGUGAAAGCCCGGGGCUCAACCCCGGGACUGCAUUUGAAACUGUCAGGCUGGAGUGCAGGAGAGGUAAGUGGAAUUCCUAGUGUAGCGGUGAAAUGCGUAGAUAUACGGAGGAACACCAGUGGCGAAGGCGGAUUGCUGGACAGUAACUGACGCUGAGGCGCGAAAGCGUGGGGAGCAAACAGGAUUAGAUACCCCUGUA
rnacentral:rRNA from 1 species